UACGUAGGGUCCGAGCGUUGUCCGGAAUUACUGGGCGUAAAGAGCUCGUAGGUGGUUUGUCACGUUGUUCGUGAAAACUCACAGCUUAACUGUGGGCGUGCGGGCGAUACGGGCAGACUAGAGUACUGCAGGGGAGACUGGAAUUCCUGGUGUAGCGGUGGAAUGCGCAGAUAUCAGGAGGAACACCGGUGGCGAAGGCGGGUCUCUGGGACGGUACUGACGCUGAGACGCGAAAGCGUGGGGAGCGAACAGG
rnacentral:rRNA from 1 species